rnacentral:rRNA from 1 species
UACGUAGGGAGCAAGCGUUGUCCGGAAUCAUUGGGCGUAAAGCGCGCGUAGGUGGCUUCGUAAGUCCGCUGUGAAAGUCAAAGGCUCAACCUUUGAAAGCCGGUGGAUACUGUGAAGCUAGAGUCCGGAAGAGGAGAGUGGAAUUCCUGGUGUAGCGGUGAAAUGCGCAGAUAUCAGGAAGAACACCAAUGGCGAAGGCAGCUCUCUGGGACGGUACUGACGCUGAGACGCGAAAGCGUGGGGAGCGAACAGG